rnacentral:lncRNA from 1 species
UCUCACUGUCUUUUUCACAAUAGGAAGCAGUAGUUUAUUCUUUCCUUGCUGAAUUUUCUUUAGAAUCCACUCUGCGCCAUGAACCUACAUCAACUUCUUAAAACAAUUGAUGUAAAGAUAAAAAUAAAGUCAGCUUCCCGGUCAUCUAAGCUUCGAGAAAAGGUAACAUCUUCCUUUAUGUUGGAGACUGGGAAAAACUAUUGAAGAGAUGCUCAUCUUUGUGACUAAUCAUAUACUUUUUUUGGCAGAAUUCUAUCAAUGUCGUGACUCUUAAAGACUUGAUCGUUCAAAGGAGAAUUGCAUCUUUGAAUGGAAAAUCUAUAAUUUAUAAAUGAUAUUACUUUAUUUACCCAAUUAUCAUAUCCUCCCACAUGCAAGCUUGUACUCAUACAUUGUUGCUACUUAAGAACUCUCCCGUUAAAUUGCACUUGCGAUGUCACUUCAAAGUGGAUCUAUAUAUAUUAAAAUAUAGACGCAUUUGUCUAGGAACAUUCAUGUCACUGAUGCAUUCCUCCUACUCAACUGGUGUUAGGAGCUUCAUUCCAUCCUGUUUUGGCACACUGUUGAUAAUUGGGAGCUUCUUCCCUUACUCAUUUGGAGUUUACAUUCCAGUGGCACAUUGAAACAUUCCUGCAUAUUCAAAUUUUAUACUGGUUACAUGUGUUUGUUUAAGUGUAUAAAUGGAAUAUUCAAUGUGCUUUCAUUAAUUUGUUCACUUUCUUUUGUGAUUUAGUUUGCAGACAUUGAGUUUAAUUUUUCCCUUUAUAUCAAAAUUGUUUUCUUUUUUUUGGUUGUUCCAUAGCUCUUUCAUUAUCAUUGAUCAUUUGUACAUACCUGGUUUUGCAGCUUCUUGAUGGAUUUUCAAACGGAUAUGAUUAAUCUGUCACUCCUUUAGCUUUACAUUCAUAGAACAUCACGUUCUUGAGCCUUGAGCUUUAACCCUUCAAUCUCUUCCAAUUUCCCCCAAUUUUCAACUUCCAAUACAAUCAAAAUAAUGAGUUGAAUUUCAUCCCUUUUUUGCUUUUAUUGCAGCUUUUAAUUGCACUCUUAUUUUUGUUGUUUUAUUUUUUCUUGGUGCGUGUGUGUGUGUGUGUUUUAGUAGAAAUUCUUUUUAACGGGUUUAGUUUUUGAUUUGUGAUUGAUCUGAAAAGAUAAGCUAUCUAGGUUUUGGCAAGAUGAUCUUUAUGGAGUUUCUGUGAUUUCUUGGUGUGUGUGUGUGUGUGUUUAAGUAGAAAGAUUUUGUUAAUUGGUUUGAUUUUUUAUCUGUGAUUCAUCUGAUAAGAUAAUUUAUAUGUGUCUUUGGCUUAAACACUGAUCUUUGUGGAAUUUUUGUGUUUUCAUGGUGUGUGUGUAAUGGGUUUAGUUUUGAUCUGAUAAGAUAAGCCAUAUGUGUUUUAGCUAAAAGAGUGAUCUUUAUGGAAAUUUUGUGUUUGUUUGUUUGUUUGUUUUGUUUUUUCUUGGUGAUCUGGCAGGACAACAAUUUUAAUAUAAUUCGAAAUGCUCUCUGCAUUCGAGUGAAAAUGAAGGGGCUAAAGUCUGACCAGAAAGUCUUGAGGAGCUCCUUACACAAUCUACUGCCUUUGAAAGUAUAUUCAAUUCCCGAAAAAACCAAGGGUUCAACAUGUGGAAGGAGAGAACAUAUCUAAUGGAAUUCCUUCAAAUGCCUUAUUUGAGGUCCGAGUUGAUUCUUCUGGUACUCUUUCGGACUAGUUGAAAGAUAGUAUUAUAUCUUGUGAUAGUAAUUCUAAUUUUUACCAUGUUACACAUAUCUGUAUCAGCAGAUGUUACUACAAACCCAUACAUUUUUUGGGUAACAUAUUUGUGGCCUUUUAUAUCUCUUCUGAGUACAGCUU